rnacentral:rRNA from 1 species
ACGAACGCUGGCGGCGUGCCUAAUACAUGCAAGUCGAGCGGAAUGAUGAAGAAGCUUGCUUCUUCUGAUUUUAGCGGCGGACGGGUGAGUAACACGUGGGCAACCUACCUUGUAGAUUGGGAUAACUCCGGGAAACCGGGGCUAAUACCGAAUAAUCCAUUUUGCUUCAUGGCGAGAUGUUAAAAGGCGGCUUCGGCUGUCACUACGAGAUGGGCCCGCGGCGCAUUAGCUAGUUGGUAGGGUAAUGGCCUACCAAGGCGACGAUGCGUAGCCGACCUGAGAGGGUGAUCGGCCACACUGGGACUGAGACACGGCCCAGACUCCUACGGGAGGCAGCAGUAGGGAAUCUUCCACAAUGGACGAAAGUCUGAUGGAGCGACGCCGCGUGAGUGAAGAAGGUUUUCGGAUCGUAAAACUCUGUUGUAAGGGAAGAACACGUACGAGAGUAACUGCUCGUACCUUGACGGUACCUUAUUAGAAAGCCACGGCUAACUACGUG